AUUUCUAUUAGCCUCCAGCAAAUUUUGUUACGUUGUAAAGGUUACUCAUCUGUAAGAGAUUAAAAUAACUGCAAACCACUAAGCUGAUCACAGAACUGAACGUUCGGACAAAUGAACAUAACACACACACACACACACACACAUUUAUUUACCCGCAACAGUUGAUUGAAGUUAUUGUACACCUCAAGGUCGGCGGAAAUAUAUCUGUCAGGAUUGACUAACAAGGCCAACGCUUCUCAGUGUAGAAGUUGAGAUAUCAGGGCUGAACAUGAUGAUGUAUGAUGUCGUUCUGUGCAUGUAUGAUAUAACAGAAAGUAAAUUCUUGGUGCUAAAUGAUCAGGUAUCCGCUGAUGAAAGAAAUUCAAUUCUCUACUCUACACCGAAACAAAUAAAUAAAAAUUGAAUAGAUAAAUGUCAAGGAUCAUUUAUUCCAGAAGUCUUCAAAAGCACAAAGGAAGUAAAUUGUUCUCAGGGGAAAAAAUCGUAGCAAUACCACUGCUUGUAGUUCGGUGAUUUUCAGAGAGGCACAAAUGUAACCAAACAUGAAACCACACACAAACAUACAUAUGUAUAACAGGACUGCACUUGGAACCGGUCAUGAUUUUUGUUUACUCCAGCAAAUCUCUUGUUUCUUUCUUCUGAACGGAAAACUCUGAAUUCUUGAACUUAUUAAAAAAUAGUGUUGUGAGCCAUUCUUCCUUGUCGGGGCAAUAACAAACAGGGAAAAAUCCAGUCCUUUAUUGGUUCUAGGAUGUGCACCUUUACCAUUUCUGACCACUCGUUCCAGUGCCACAACCAAGAACACUGAUUUUUUGUCAAUUAUUUGCCAUCAAAUGGACUUUGUUCAGUGUCUUCAGCAAGUAUUUUGCUUUGUGCACAACACCAAAACAAAGCAGUUUCGUCCCUAUCAUAUAUUUGAUCAGAAUUUUCUUUUUCUUUGAUGCAACAAAACAAGCCAAAUCUUGAACAAAAUAUUCUGCUUCUAAGCCUGCACUCCUCUUUUCAUCUGAUGCACUGUGCAGUGAAAUUUUUAUGUCUAUCUUCUAAAUUUGUGCAACCUUCCAUGCAAAUAUUCACACUAAAAAUUUUUGGCUUGUUCAACAAUAAAGCUGCUAGAAAUAUUCACAACAUCAGAUCUAAGUUACUCUAAAGCAGUUUAUCAGAGAACUAUCUUUUUCCACCUUUUAUUUUGAUCAAAGAAAGAAAAAAACUUCUAAAUUUGUUCUUUGUGUUCCUUUAAAUCAUAAAUGAUAGAAGAACUAACUCCAUACAAGACAUACAGAAAUAUCCAUGUCACACAUUUAUCUAACUUUUCAAAUAGCUCCGUAUUUUCCAGCAUUGACAAUGAUUUGUGUUUAUGUCUUUCUAUUUCCAUUGUGGCUUGGAAAGCGUCU